rnacentral:pre_miRNA from 1 species
AGCGGGUUACUCAGCCAAGGAUGACUUGCCUACAUGAUCUGACGUACUGAUUAUUGGGAUGCCAUUAAUUAGGCCUUAUGUUGUUUGCCAUUCAGUUGAGUUCGUUUGUGGGCAAGUCAUCUUUAGGCGCAGCAUCCCGCUCU